UACGUAGGGGGCUAGCGUUGUCCGGAAUCAUUGGGCGUAAAGAGCGUGUAGGCGGUCCGGUAAGUCCGCUGUGAAAGUCGGGGGCUCAACCCUCGAAUGCCGGUGGAUACUGUCGGGCUAGAGUGCGGAAGAGGCGAGUGGAAUUCCCGGUGUAGCGGUGAAAUGCGCAGAUAUCGGGAGGAACACCAAUGGCGAAGGCAGCUUGCUGGGACGGUACUGACGCUGAGGCGCGAAAGCGUGGGGAGCAAACAGG
rnacentral:rRNA from 1 species